rnacentral:rRNA from 1 species
UAGGGAAUCUUCCGCAAUGGGCGAAAGCCUGACGGAGCAACGCCGCGUGAGUGAUGAAGGUCUUCGGAUCGUAAAACUCUGUUAUUAGGGAAGAACAAAUGUGUAAGUAACUAUGCACGUCUUGACGGUACCUAAUCAGAAAGCCACGGCUAACUACGUGCCAGCAGCCGCGGUAAUACGUAGGUGGCAAGCGUUAUCCGGAAUUAUUGGGCGUAAAGCGCGCGUAGGCGGUUUUUUAAGUCUGAUGUGAAAGCCCACGGCCCAACCGUGGAGGGUCAUUGGAAACUGGAAAACUUGAGUGCAAAAGAGGAAAGUGGAAUUCCAUGUGUAGCGGUGAAAUGCGCAGAGAUAUGGAGGAACACCAGUGGCGAAGGCGACUUUCUGGUCUGUAACUGACGCUGAUGUGCGAAAGCGUGGGGAUCAAACAGG